UUGUUCAUAUAUAGCAAAUAUAUUAAAAUUUGGACUACAGAGAUUAGCAUGGCCCCUGCACAAGGAUAAUCACAAAUUUAUGACGUGUUCCAUAUUUUU
rnacentral:snRNA from 1 species